rnacentral:rRNA from 1 species
GACGAACGCUGGCGGCGUGCUUAACACAUGCAAGUCGAACGGAAAGGCCCUGCUUUUGUGGGGUGCUCGAGUGGCGAACGGGUGAGUAACACGUGAGUAACCUGCCCUUGACUUUGGGAUAACUUCAGGAAACUGGGGCUAAUACCGGAUAGGAGCUCCUGCUGCAUGGUGGGGGUUGGAAAGUUUCGGCGGUUGGGGAUGGACUCGCGGCUUAUCAGCUUGUUGGUGGGGUAGUGGCUUACCAAGGCUUUGACGGGUAGCCGGCCUGAGAGGGUGACCGGCGACAUUGGGACUGAGGUACGGCCCAGACUCCUACGGGAGGGAGCAGUGGAGGAUAUUGCACAAUGGGCGGAAGCCUGAUGCAGCAACGCCGCGUGCGGGAUGACGGCCUUCGGGUUGUAAACCGCUUUCGCCUGUGACGAAGCGUGAGUGACGGUAAUGGGUAAAGAAGCACCGGCUAACUACGUG